ACCACGUCGCCUACGGUCUUACAUACACCACCAAAUUCACCAAUAAGUGAUGUUUCAGAAAGAUGUGAAACCGAUGCACAUCAGAAUGCUGUAGAUAGUUCAACAGAAGACGUCAUUUGUUUGACAGACCGUGGGCAUGCCAUACGACAUCGACCAAUCAAGGAACUUGAUGUGAUUUCAGGACGAUUCGCCUUCAUGAGCACGCCAAAAGGGGACCGCAUUUACACUGCAAAUAAUGGCCAACGAUUCAAACUGACAAAAGAAAUAGUUGAUAGACUUUUGUACUACAACAAAAGUCCUACUUGCAAGGAGAACGUCAACAUCGAUAAAACAUUCGUUGAGAUGCUUCUCCUUUCUGUGUUCAGUGUCAACAAUUUGAAACAAAAACAAUUCGAUUUGGAUCUUUUAAAGAUUGUUAAAUAUUUCUACAAACAACGUGUGGGCCGGGACAAAUUGCGAAUGGAAAACUUCAAAAAACACGUGCAAACCAAAUGUAAUGAGCUGAGAAC